UAAACUAACAUACUGUUUGAUUGAAUAUUUGAAAGAAUCAAACCUAAACUAACAUACUGUUUGAUUGAAUAUUUGAAAGAAUCAAACCUAAACUAACCAGGUUACCCCAUUCCCAAGCUUGCAGGGUAGGCACUGAAAAAGGUAGAUUGAAAAACAGAACUGUAUUACUAACCUAAAUGAAUGUAUUAUUCUAGUGUUUGUGUUAGAGAUAGGUUUACUGUUCAACAGGAUGAGGUUGGGUUGUUAAGUUUGAAAAUGGCUCUUAAUGAAGCAGUAAUAGGUUACUAUUUUGUCUGUGAUUGUUAAAUUAUUAGCAUGUGUAAAAGCUACAACUGCUAUAUGCUACAUAGUAAUAUUCUAUGUAUCUAUAUAUCUUUCCCUUUGCCCUAAUUAAAGGUUAAAUUCAAUAUCAAUGAAAAAUUUCUGCUCUUAUAAAUUGUCAAAAUGAGUUGUAGCCUAUUCCUAACUGAUCAGAAUUAGUUUGCAUCCUGAGAACACGUGAUUGAUGUAGUAUUUGUUUCAAUAGGCUAGAAAUUUAUCAUUUAAAUCAACACAAGGUUAUGUUAGCCAGUCAUUCAUUACACAUGUUUUUCUUUAGUUUGAGACAAGGUUAUGUUAGCCAGUCAUUCAUUACAUGUGUUUUUCUUUAGUUUGAGACAAGGUUAUGUUAGCCAGUCAUUCAUUACAUGUGUUUUUCUUUAGUUUGACACAAGGUUAUGUUAGCCAGUCAUUCAUUACAUGUGUUUUUCUUUAGUUUGACACAAGGUUAUGUUAGCCAGUCAUUCAUUACAUGUGUUUUUCUUUAGUUUGAGACAAGGUUAUGUUAGCCAGUCAUUCAUUACAAAUGUUUUUCUUUAGUUUGAGACAAGGUUAUGUUAGCCAGUCAUUCAUUACAAAUGUUUUUCUUUAGUUUGAGACAAGGUUAUGUUAGCCAGUCAUUCAUUACAUUCAUUUGACUAGCUUCCAUAACCUUCUCUCAAUGGACAGAAGUGACAAAACAAAUGACUAACAUAACCUGGUCUCAGUGUUACAAAGGGCAGAGCAAGUUAAUAGUGACAGAAAUAAACAUUACAAAAGAUUUAGCAACCGAAGGGACAGGAGUACGCAUUGCUACAGAUGACACAGUAACCCAAGUGUGAUAGGGAUUGUAAUGUUACGGAAGAUAUGGUGACGUAAGUGACGAGGACCGAGCGUUACAGACAGCGUAGUGACUUAAGCAUGACAGGGAUUGUAGAAAGAUUGUGGAAUGAUUGUAUAAAAAAAGAUACAGUAACUCAGCAGUGACAUAGAUACGUAAUGUUACUGAGGACAUGGUAACUUACGUGUGAUGAGGAUCGUAAUGUUGCAGAUGAACUAACAAUAAUUUAAGUGUCAGAAUUCAUCAUGUUACAAAUGGCAUAUUAAUUUUAGUGGCAUGGAUCAGAAUGUUACAAAAUAUAUACGUAUAUUAAGUGGCACAGAUCGUAAUGUUACAAGAUACAUGGUACCCACACCGAUAUGUAUAAGUAAUGUUAAAUGACAUAGUAACUUAAAUUAAAUGGAUAUAUUACGCUAAAAAAGCUUAGUAACCAAAGUGACAUGUAUACGUAAUGUUACAAAUGGCAUAGUAACAAAUAAAAUGGAUACGUAAUGUUAACAAGACUUAGUAACCAAAGUGAAUGAAUGCGUAAUGUUAACAAGACUUAGUAACCAAAGUGACAUAUACGUAAUGUUAGGGAUGACACAGUAACUUAAAUAUAAUGGUUAGUAAUGUUAACAAGACUUAGUAACCAAAGUGACAUAUACGUAAUGUUAGGGAUGACAGAGUAACUUAAAUAUAAUGGUUAGUAAUGUUAACAAGACUUAGUAACCAAAGUGACAUAUACGUAAUGUUAGGGAUCACACAGUAACUUAAAUAUAAUGGUUAGUAAUGUUAACAAGACUUAGUAACCAAAGUGACAUAUACGUAAUGUUAGGGAUGACACAGUAACUUCAGUAUAACAUGGAUCGUAAUGUUACAUCUACAUAAAGACGAGAAAUGAGCAUAACAGUGAGUGCCGGGUUGCCGUAAUCUUGCCUCAACGUACAGAGAUCAAAUUAACACACGACAUACAAAUUGCAGUUACUUAUACAAGAACUUCGUAGGUAAGGUUGACAAGUUAUAUUCCAUUAGUUUAAAUGACGUAAUCUCUCCUUGACAUACAGAGAUCAAAUGAACAUACGACAUACGACUGAAUUGAAGUUACUUAUACAAACAUCUCAAAGGUAAGGUUGGCAUAACUUAUAUUUUGCUAGUUUAAAUGAUGUAAUCUUCCCUUUACAUACAGAUCAAAGUAACAUACGACAUAUGAAAUGAAUUGAUGUUACUUAUACAAACAUACCAGUGAAAUGAGGUUACUUAUACAAACAUACCAGUGAAUUGAUGUUACUUAUACAAACAUACCAGUGAAAUGAUGUUACUUAUACAAACAUACCAGUGAAUUGAGGUUACUUAUACAAACAUACCAGUGAAAUGAGGUUACUUAUACAAACAUCUCGCAGGUUAAGGUUGACGUAACUUAUAUAGCGUUACUUUAAGAGAUGUAAUCUUGCCUAUACGUACAGAGAUCGAAGUAACAUCUCGAGAGUAGGGUUCAAGUAACUUAUAUUUCGUUAGUUUAAGGUUACAUAUACUUACAAUAAAGUCGUAAAGAGGGAAAGAAUAAAGGUGUGUGGAAAAGGUCAUCUUAUUGCCUACAAACACCAAGAGAGACAAAUAUUGGGGCGAGGGAGGGAGGGCAGGGUAACAAAUACACACGCACACACACACACACAAAAAAUAAUAAAUAAAUAAAUAAAUAAUUAAAUAAAAACACUGA